rnacentral:rRNA from 1 species
CUAAAACGUAUAUUAAAGUUGUUGCGGUUAAAAAGCUCGUAGUUGGAUUUCUGUUGAGAUCGGUCGGUCCCCACUCUGUGGGCGUAUCUGAUAUGGUCUUGGCAUCCUCAUAGGGAACCGGAGGCACUUCACUGUGUGGCCGGGAAUCUAUGACUUUUACUUUGAGGAAAUUAGAGUGUUCAAAGCAGGCGACCGCCUUGAAUACGUUAGCAUGGAAUAAUAAUAUAGGACUUUGGCCCUAUUUUGUUGGUUUCUAGGACUAAAGUAAUGAUUAACAGGGAUAUUUGGGGGCAUUUGUAUUAACCGGUCAGAGGUGGAAUUCUUGGAUUCGGUUACGACAAACUAAUGCGAAAGCAUUUGCCAAGGAUGUUUUCAUUGAUCAAGAACGAAAGUGUGGGGAUCGAAGACGAUUAGAUACCAU